rnacentral:rRNA from 1 species
UACGAAGGGGGCUAGCGUUGCUCGGAAUCACUGGGCGUAAAGCGCACGUAGGCGGAUCGCUAAGUCAGGGGUGAAAUCCUGGGAGCUCAACUCCAGAACUGCCCUUGAUACUGGCGAUCUCGAGUCCGGGAGAGGUGAGUGGAACUGCGAGUGUAGAGGUGAAAUUCGUAGAUAUUCGCAAGAACACCAGUGGCGAAGGCGGACUCACUGGCCCGGUACUGACGCUGAGGUGCGAAAGCGUGGGGAGC